GAAAAGAGGAGGAAAAUUUUGUCGGCUCUUGUUCACCGAAGCUUCAUCUCUAACUUCCUCUUCGUUAGUGGCUAUGGCUUCUCAACGUCGUCGACCCUUUCAAUGGCCACCACUAUCACUCCGACCACCUUCGAGUGCCUCUGAAAACCUACCAAUUUCAGGCACCCGAGUUCUCAUUGAUGAAGUGCGUUCUUCAAAUCAAGUUCCCAUGGAUGACGGAUCCAUGUCUUUAAGUCAGACUUAUAAUGAAGAAUGGCAAAGACUUAGAAGAUGGGCUGCAACUUGUGUAGCUAUGUAUGCUGCAUAUGCGGCAAUUCUUGUUUCAGUUUAUCAUCACUCAAACUAUUUGGAGAGAUCAAUCUCUAAUGAAGGAGAUUAUGAAUGACAUGCUUUGAUGGAAAGACUUACACUAAUGGAUAAUGAAGAUUGUUAUAAUCAACUACGUAUGGGAAAGGAUGCAUUCGCAAGACUAGUAAACAUUCUUCGGGGAACAGGUCGUCUUAGAAAUAAUGCACAUAGUAAUGUAGAAGAACAAGUUGUCAAAUUCCUUCACAUUGUUGGUCAUAAUUUAAGGAAUAGAACUAUGAAAUUUUAUUUCAAGCGUUCUAGUGAAACUAUUAGUCGCCACUUUCAUCAAGUUCUUAGAUCUAUAAUAUCUUUAGAUGAUGUCUUCUUAAAGCAGCCUGAUGGAUUAAAGUGCCCUCAAGAAAUCAAGGACAAUACCAAAUUUUGGCCCUACUUUAAGGAUUGCAUAGGGGUGAUUGAUGGGUCACAUUUUCGUGUAAAAGUGUCAAAUGAUGUUGUGCAAAGGUAUCGAGGGCGAAAGUACUAUCCAACACAAAAUGUUUUAGCAACAUGUUCCUUUGACUUGAAGUUCACAUAUGUUUUACCUGGUUGGGAAGGAUCUACGUCAGACUCGAGAAUCCUAGAUAAUGCAUUAGUGAGAGAUUUUGAUAAAUUGAUUGUUCCACAAGAUGAAACAUAGUGAAGGCUUUGAAGUGCACAAAAGUGUAAGUGAAAAAAGAAACUCGACUUGGAUUGAUGAAAUGGACAACUUUUUGGUUGAUCGAUUAAUGGAGCAAAUGCAUAAAGGGCAAAAGAUAGGAGGAGUCUUCACCAAGACAGCUUAUGCAAUAGUUGCUCGAGAAAUUGGGGAAAAUUUUGAAUUGAGUUGUAACUCUGAGCACAUAAAAAAUAGAAUGAAAACUUUUAAAAAAAACUUUUAUGCUGCUCAAGAAGUUUUGCAAAGUAGUAGUGGAUUUGGUUUCAAUGAAUCAACUCAAAUGAUCGAAGCUACCACGGAAGUAUGGACUACUUACACUAAGGCACACCCAGGAACAUCUCAGCUCAGAUACAAACCUAUUAGAAAUUAUGAUAAGUUGUCCAUUCUUCUUAGAAAAGAUCAAGCAACAGGAAGUCUUGCUGCAGGUGCAAAAGAAAGACAACUUCGUUGGGCCCAUGAACAAAAUUUGGAUGACACGAUUCCAUUAGGAUCAUCACAACAUGGGAUCAGAGAUGAAACAUUUGCUUAUGUUGAAAAUGAAGCAACAAAUGAGACAUCUUUCUCAUCUGCAGAUGCAUCUAUUUCUGCACCAAAGUCCAACAAAGAAACAAAAAAGCGAAAAGCAAAAUAUGUCAACAUUGUAAGUGAAGAAUUAAGGUCAAUUAGAGUUGGAAUGGAUGCAGUUGUUGCGGCUCUUGAUAGAAGCAACCUUCAAAAUUAUACAGAAAAGCAAUUGUUUGAAGAGAUUGCUAAGAUUGGAGGCAUGAGUGAUGUAUCUCAAUGAAAGCAUAUCAAGCUCUUACCGGUGAUGUGAGUGUAGCUCGAGCCUUCCUUGCUUGUCCAAUUGAUAGGCGUAAGCUUUGGUUGUCAGUUAAAUUUGGACCUACUUUUUUUGAUGCCUAAUUUGAGAUGGAGAUUAUUUUUAUUUUUAGUUUUACUUUUGUUUUGGGGCUAUAUGUGAAGUUUUGAUAUCAAAACUCAUGGAUGAUAGUUGACUAUUAGAAAUUGAUCUAUUAUAUUUUUAGACUUAUGAAGACUUCUUUUAUUCAUUUGCUA